rnacentral:rRNA from 1 species
GACGAACGCUGGCGGCGUGCUUAACACAUGCAAGUCGAACGGAGUGGCGAACGGGUGAGUAACACGUGGGUGAUCUGCCUUGCACUUCGGGAGAAGCUUGGGAAACUGGGUCUAAUACCGGAUAGUGCAAGAUGAGAUCGCUGCCUAUCAGCUUGUUGGUGGGGUAAUGGCCUACCAAGGCGUCGACGGGUAGCCGGCCUGAGAGGGUGUACGGCCACAUUGGUCCUGAGCUACGGCCCAGAGGUGUACGGGGGGCAGCAGUGGGGAAUAUUGCGCAAUGGGCGGACGCCUGAUGCAGCGACGCCGGGUGGGGGAUGAAGGCCUUCGGGUUGUAAACUCCUUUCGACAGGGACGCGGUACCUGUAUAAGAAGCACCGGCUAACUACGUGCCAGCAGCCGCGGUAAUUC